rfam:Trametes versicolor FP-101664 SS1 unplaced genomic scaffold TRAVEscaffold_8, whole genome shotgun sequence.
UGCCCCAUGGCUGAGUUGGUUACAGCGUCCGACUGUUACUUCUACUCGUAGUUUCAUCGGAAGGUCGUGAGUUCGAGCCUCACUGGGGCAG